GAUGAACGCUGGCGGCGUGCUUAACGCAUGCAAGUCGAACGGAAAGGCCCUGCUCUUGUUGGUCUCUUGUGUGGCGAACGCGUGAGUAUCACGUGUGUAACCUGCCCUUAACUUAGUGAUAACUUCAGGAAACUGGGGCUCAUACCGCAUAUGAGCUCCUGCAGCAUGUUGGGCGUUGGUAAGUUUCGGCGUUUGUGGAUGGACUCGCUGCUUAUGCGCUGGUUGGUGUGGUAGUUGCUUACCAAGGCUUUGACGGCUAGCCUGCCUGAGAGGGUUGACGGCGACAUUGGGACUGAGGUAGGGAGCAGAAUCGUACGGGAGGCAGCGGUGGAGAAUAUUACAGAGUGGGCGGAAGCCUGAUACAGAGAUGUCGCGUGCGGGAUGAUCGCUUUCUAGUUGUAAACAGCUUUCGACUGAGACGAAGCGUGAGUGACGGUAAUGGAUAAAGAAGCCACGGCUAACUACGUG
rnacentral:rRNA from 1 species